CGGGACGGGGUGGAGUAAUGUCUGGGAAACUGCCUGAUGGAGGGGGAUAACUACUGGAAACGGUAGCUAAUACCGCAUAACGUCGCAAGACCAAAGAGGGGGACCUUCGGGCCUCUUGCCAUCGGAUGUGCCCAGAUGGGAUUAGCUAGUAGGUGGGGUAACGGCUCACCUAGGCGACGAUCCCUAGCUGGCUGAGAGGAUGACCAGCCACACUGGAACUGAGACACGGUCCAG
rnacentral:rRNA from 1 species